rnacentral:rRNA from 1 species
UACGUAGGGGGCAAGCGUUAUCCGGAUUUACUGGGUGUAAGGGGAGCGUAGACGGCUUUGCAAGCCAGAUGUGAAAGCCCGGGGCUCAACCUCGGGACUGCAUUUGGAACUGUAUGGCUGGAGUGUCGGAGAGGCAGGCGGAAUUCCUAGUGUAGCGGUGAAAUGCGUAGAUAUUAGGAGGAACACCAGUGGCGAAAGCGGCUCUCUGGUCUGUAACUGACGCUGAGGUUCGAAAGCGUGGGUAGCAAACAGG